rnacentral:rRNA from 1 species
CGGCCGCGUCGACCAGGACGAGCGCUGGCGGCGUGCCUAAUACAUGCAAGUCGAGCGGAACCUUUGGAGCUUGCUCCAUUGGUUUAGCGGCGGACGGGUGAGUAACACGUGGGCAACCUGCCCUGCAGAUCGGGAUAACUCCGGGAAGCCGGUGCUAAUACCGAAUAGUUUGCGGCCUCUCCUGAGGCUGCACGGAAAGACGGUUUCGGCUGUCACUGCAGGAUGGGCCCGCGGCGCAUUAGCUAGUUGGUGGGGUAAUGGCCACCAAGGCCACGAUGCGUAGCCGACCUGAGAGGGUGAUCGGCCACACUGGGACUGAGACACGGCCCAGACUCCUACGGGAGGCAGCAGUAGGGAAUCUUC